AUUGAACGCUGGCGGCGUGCUUAACACAUGCAAGUCGAUCGGUAACGCGGGGGCAACCCUGGCGACGAGAGGCGGACGGGUGAGGAACGCUUGGGAAUCUGCCUAUCAGCGGGGGACAACACGGGAAACUCGUGCUAAUACCGCAUACGCUCUACGGAGGAAAGCCGGGGACCGCAAGGCCUGGCACUGAUAGAUGAGCCCAAGCCGGAUUAGCUAGUUGGCGGGGUAACGGCCCACCAAGGCGACGAUCCGUAGCUGGUCUGAGAGGACGAUCAGCCACACUGGGACUGAGACACGGCCCAGACUCCUACGGGAGGCAGCAGUGGGGAAUAUUGGACAAUGGGGGAAACCCUGAUCCAGCGACGCCGCGUGGGUGAAGAAGGCCUGCGGGUUGUAAAGCCCUUUCGGUAGGGACGAAAGCUCUCGACCUAACACGUCGGGAGGUUGACUUAACCUACAGAAGAAGCACCGGCUAACUCUGUGCCAGCAGCCGCGGUAAUAC
rnacentral:rRNA from 1 species